CCUACGGGGUGCAGCAGUGGGGAAUAUUGCACAAUGGGGGGAACCCUGAUGCAGCGACGCCGCGUGGGUGAAGGAGUAUUUCGGUAUGUAAAGCCCUAUCAGCAGGGAAGAACAAUGACGGUACCGGACGAAGAAGCACCGGCUAAAUACGUGCCAGCAGCCGCGGUAAUACGUCUGGUGCAAGCGUUAUCCGGAUUUACUGGGUGUAAAGGGAGCGCAGGCGGCGCGUUAAGCCUGGUGUGAAAGCCCGCGGCCCAACCGCGGGACUGCAUUGGGAACUGGCGCGCUGGAGUGCCGGAGGGGUAGGCGGCAUUCCUAGUGUAGCGGUGCACUGCGUCGAUAUUAGGAGGCACACCAGUGGCGAAGGCGGCCUACUGGACGGUGACUGCCGCUGCGGCUCGACAGCGUGGGGAGCACACAGGAUUAGCUACCCGAGUAGUC
rnacentral:rRNA from 1 species